rnacentral:misc_RNA from 1 species
GGAAAUGCAAGAACGGUCCUAAUGUGAGGGCUCAAAACGAGAGUGCAAAAGGUUCUGUGCAACCUCCGACCAAUCCUCUACCAUUGUGCAUUGGAGUAAAACUGGAAGACGUAGAUGAGAUUGUUAGAAAUUUUCUGGGCAAAGACAGGAACGAUAAUUGUCUAAUGGCAACCUCUUAAAGAGACGCGUUUAUUUUCUGAAUAUUUCGUUAAUUAGCCUUUUUUGGGUAGAUUCUAAU